rnacentral:lncRNA from 1 species
GGAGGAGGCACCGGCGCGCGUGGCUGUCGGCAGGACUCGCCCACCCCGCCGGGCGCUUUUGUGUCUUUUUCUGUUUUGUUUGGUGUUUGUGUUUUGGGAUUUUUUUUUUUUUUGUUUUUUUUUUUUUUUUUUUUUUUUUUUUUUUUUUUUUUUUUUUUUUUUUUUUUUUUUUUUUUUUUUUUUUUUUUUUGAGGGCUGCAGACAGUGUAACCGCACCCACAUGAAGCGGAAGCGCAUUUUUUGUGUAGGACUGGCUAUGGUUGCAGAGAU